AUUGAACGCUGGCGGCAGGCCUAACACAUGCAAGUCGAACGAGCGGGGGACGGGUGAGUAAUGUAUGGGGGCUGCCCGAGAGAGAGGGGUAACUACUCGGAACAGUAGCUAAUACAGCAUACUCUCGGAUCACCCCUAUGGGAUUAGCUAGUAGGUGAGGUAAUGGCUCACAUAGGCGACGAUCCCUAGCUGGUCUGAGAGGAUGAGCAGCCACACUGGGACGGAGACACGGCCCAGACUCCUACGGAGGCAGCAGUGGGGAAUAUUUCACAAUGGGCGCAAGCCUGAUGCAGCCAUGCCGCGUGUAUGAAGAAGGCCCUAGGGUUGUAAAGUACUUUCAGUCGGGAGGCGUUACCGACAGAAGAAGCACCGGCUAACUCCGUGCCAGCAGCCGCGGUAAUUC
rnacentral:rRNA from 1 species